GAUGAACGCUGGCGGCGUGCCUAAUACAUGCAAGUCGAGCGAACAGACGAGGAGCUUGCUCCUCUGACGUUAGCGGCGGACGGGUGAGUAACACGUGGAUAACCUACCUAUAAGACUGGGAUAACUUCGGGAAACCGGCGCUAAUACCGGAUAAUAUAUUGAACCGCAUGGUUCAAUAGUGAAAGACGGUUUUGCUGUCACUUAUAGAUGGAUCCGCGCCGCAUUAGCUAGUUGGUAAGGUAACGGCUUACCAAGGCAACGAUGCGUAGCCGACCUGAGAGGGUGAUCGGCCACACUGGAACUGAGACACGGUCCAGACUCCUACGGGAGGCAGCAGUAGGGAAUCUUCGGCAAAGGGCGAAAGCCUGACGGAGCAACGCCGCGUGAGUGAUGAAGGUCUUCGGAUCGUAAAACUCUGUUAUUAGGGAAGAACAAAUGUGUAAGUAACUAUGCACGUCUUGACGGUACCGAAUCAGAAAGCCACGGCUAACUACGUG
rnacentral:rRNA from 1 species